GCUGACACGUCCCGGCCAAUCUCCAGCAGACCCUCCCUCCCAGACCUUCCUACUUCCUGGACAGCAUCCAUGUUUCAAUAUGGAUGCUGUCCAUAUUGUAGGAGGGUCUGGGAGGGAGGGUCCGCUGGAGAUUGGCCGGGACGUGUCAG